rnacentral:lncRNA from 1 species
UGGCUGAGGCUUGUGAAGAACAUCUUGAUGAGUAUAAAGCUUCUGGUGAAAUGAAACAGGCUAUCAUUGAUAAGGCCUACCGCAUGUAUGUAACUGGCUACAAUCGCGGUUUAAGAGAAGCUAGACAGGCUCCUGAUAUUCCUUUGGCCAAGCUUCGUAGGCGCGAAGUGGACUCAGAUGGCGAGUCAGUGCUAUACGGGGAGGAUGAUUUCCCUUUGCCCCGAGGAGAUUCUCGGAGGAACAUAGACCGGCCAGCUGAGCCUUCGUCAGGGGAAUCCGAGAUAGGGUC